CCCGGGGAGCGGGCGAGGAAAGCCCGGCGCGGGCUGCCCCCGGUCACUCAGGGGCCCCGCUGGAGAUUCCUGUAGGUUCCGCUUUGACUUGGGACAGCUGCGAGAGAGCUCCUCGGGGCCUGGGAACAGCUCGCUGUUCCAGAAAAACAGAGCCAUGUUCUUUCUGCCAUACUGCUCUGAUGAGACUGUAAGGUCAUUCUCCAAGAAAGAAGGCUAACGGUGAUUCCAGACACUUCCUCCUUCCUCGAGAAGAUGUGGGACUGUGAUUUCAUGCCCCAUGCUUGUCAGAAAUCUCAGAGGAGAGUUUUGAAUAGUGUGGCUUUCAGGCCAGCUGGGGGGGAACGGUGCUGGCGGGGGUCAUAUGGAAGAGAGGUAUUUGGGGCCUUAUGGAUUUCUACCCACAACUCCCUCUCCCCACCCCCCAGUAUGUGUAGGGUCUCUGCACAGACCAGCUAGGAUGGAGUGGUAUAGGCCUUGUUUUAAAUUCAUUCUCCAACGCUGUUGUCAGUACACAGAAGGCAGAAUGGCAGAAGGCAUUUCCCUCUGAUGGUUACAUUAAAGCUCUGAUGGGCAGCACCUGGGUGCCUCAGUCAGUUAAUCGUCUGCCGGAAUUCCGCUCAGGGCACGAUCCCAGGAUCUAGGGAUUGAGUCCCGCAUCAGGCUCCUUGCUCAGUGGGGAGUCAGCUUCUCCCUCUGCCUGCCACUCCCCUUUUGUGUUCUCUUUCUCCAACAAAAAAAUAAAUACAAUCUUUAAAGCUCUGUUGUACAAUGCAGUAGCCUUUAGAUACCGGUGGCUACUGAACAUUUGAAAUGUGGCUGGACAAUGGAGAUGUCUGGUCAGUGUAAACUACACACUGGAAUUCCAACCCUUAGUACAAAAAAAAAAAAAAAAAAGGAAGGAGUGUACAAUGUUUCUUUAGCAAGCUUACAUUAGUUACAUCUGGAAAUAAUAAUAUUUUGGAUAUACUUGGUUACAUAGAAUUAUUAUUGCAAUUGGUUUUACCAAUUUACUUUUUUUUAAUGUGGCUAACUCAAAAUUUAAAAGCUUGUGACCCACGUUUUUGUUCCUCUAGACCAUGCAGCUUCUACGGAGUCACUGAAUAGUUCAAAGAAAGCUGCAUUCAUGUUACAGAAAGUAUUCAUGGGAAGCAUGCUUUUCUUCCUGUUUAUAUGAAGAAAGUAUAAACUUCAUGAGGCCUGGGUAGGGGGAAGUCUUCAAAAUACAAAAAUAAACCUCUUCCUUCUGAAUGAUGUAUAUGUUAUCUUACAAAGAAAAAAACAAAAACAAAAACAGCGCAAAAGAGCAGACUAGUCCAGACAAAGACUGGACUGCAACCCAGGUGAGCAUAGGAAGGGUGUGUGGGUCUGUUAGGGAGGAGCCUUCCCAGCACCGGGCAUGACCUGUGGGCUGCCGGUGGCAGCAUUUCAUGGGAAGCCAGCAUUUUGACUUUAUUUUUAAGGAGGGGGUGGUCAGAGGUACAAUGUGUAGAGGACCGGCUGGCACCUGUCUCCUUCGGUCUCUGACCCGUUGGCCUGAGCAUCCAGGGAACAUCAGCUCCUGGACUGACUACCCCUGCAGUCCAGACACACACCACUCGGCAAGGUCCACUGGCUGGGCAAGGUCUUCAGCCCUGGCGUUGGGGGGCCUCUUUUCAGCUGAACAAAUUAGGUUUCUCCAAACAGUACCCCUUCCCCGAAUCCCCACAGAGCUGGAUGCUGUCCCCUUGGAAAGGUGACUUCUUUCCCAUUUGCAUAGUCAGUAGACAGACUCAAGGCUACAGUAUUUGCAUCACACGGGGUUUAUUCGUGGUACAGCCAGAGAGCCCCUUCUCCGUGUGAUGAGUGCUGUGAAUAAAGAAAUGUUUACAGGUCACAGAGUCACAGCGAACAUCUCAGACAGAAUCUGCAGAGCAGCAUUGUGUCCUUAAAGUUGUUUGUUUAAACAAUCUGUUGAAAUAUCCUGUCUAGUCCUCUCCGAUUCACUGUUGACAGGACCUGCAGCCAUGUCACUCCCAGGACUAGAAUAUAUUAUAUGGCAAAGGUGAAGGAAUCUGCUGAUGUAAUCAAGGCCCCUGAAUCACCUGAAUCAUCCAGGGUGAUUACCCUGGGUGGGCCUGACCCAAUCAGGUGAGUCCUUUAAAAGAAAGUUUAGGAUAAGAAACUGAAGAAGUCAGAGAUUCAAAGCAGCACAGGGUUUCUGCUGCUGAAUCUAAAAAAGCAAAGAAGGCCACAUGGCAGGGGAUGGCAGGGGAUGGCCUCUAGCUGCUGAGCACCUCUGUCCUCUACUUCCAAAGAAUGGACUUUUGCCCAACAACCAAUGAGCUCGGAUGGGGAUCUCAGCUUUCAGAUGAAUCUACAACUGCCAGCCUGAGUUCCACCUUGCCAGACCCCGAGCAGAGGACCCAGUGAAGCCAUGCACAGACUUCUGAUCCCCCAGAAACCAUGCAAUCAUAAAUGGGUGCUGUUUUAUGCCUCUACGUUUUGUGGAAACGUGUUACGCAGCAAUAGAAUAUGAAAACAGGAAAUAUGGACCCACCUUGCAGAAAGAGUCUGUGGCUAGCAGAGCUCACAGGGCUCUGUUUUCAGCCGUCCAUGAAAAUUCCAACCAAGCCAUACACAAAUGUUAGAACACAUAUCUGUUUAUUUGUUUCCCGGACAGUUAGGUCCUGAAAGUGUUGCUUCAAGGUCCCUCCUUUCAACCCCCUGUAACCUUCCAGGCUUCACAUGGUGCACGGGAGUGUGGAUGGCGGGAGGAAAGAUAUUGGCGCUGUCAACCAAGUGAGCUCAGCUGGAAGCUUCUGGUUCCCCUGCCCUCCCCCAUCCCCCCACUAUGCCUGGAGAAUGGAAGCAGCCAUUCACUGUUUAAAGAAAGCAGUUAAAUGCUGGUUGGAUUUCUGGUAGGGAAGCCUGAAACAGCAGCACCGGCCUAGUUACAGAGCAGACAAUUUAUAUAAAGAAAGCUUCAUGAGAUCUCACUAGAUAUUUUAUUGUUAUAAGCAUGGAUAGGACACAUAGCUGUACGCUGGCGUACUAUGAUGACAUGAUUUCAUAUCUCAAGUCACACUUUUAGAAAUCUAUAGCCUCUCAUUCCAAAGCUAACAUCUGUCAAAUGAUGAGACACUAUUUUCGUAGACAUUAAAAAAAAAAAAAAAACAUAAGAAAGAGAACAUCCAUUGUAAGCCCCUCCUUUAUUUUGGGCACUCAGGGAAACAGACUUCCAUUGGCUUGGGUCAUGGCUCUCUUUGGGGUGCACAAUUUCUGUCUGACAUCACCUUCAUGUGCCACAGAUCAAAUGCUUUCCCUCUACAUGGGAUUUCUGGGACCGUGCUUGUUUCGUCUUCUCCAAUGGUUGUGACUUUCUUCUCUCACCUCAGAAUAACUCCCUCCCCUGGGUCUACACUGACAGUCACUAUGCUCUUUCUCAUCUCCAUGUCAUUUAUUUAUUUUUUUUUUUUUUUACCUUCCUUACACUGAUCUUUCUGAAGUUCUCUACACAAAUGACAAGAGACUAGAAUUUUCCAGUGUUUCUUAAUUUCUGGCCUUAGCAGCUUAUAUUCUGAAAACCCCAUGGGUCUUAUUUAUCUCCUUUUCCAUCUAUAAGAAAAGGGGAGGAGGAUGGCAGACACGACUCCUUCAAGACAUGAGUGUCACACUGGACUUAACAGUAUUCCCAGAGAAUAUUUCUAUAGCUCAGAUUAGUUGCUCCUUUGUGAACGCUCUCACCUCACAUCCUCUGAAGCAUUAGCACAGACCCCUUUGCAAGAAACUGACUUAAUAGAAGGCCCUUUAAUGCAAGUUAAGUUUUGGCCACUGACAGGUCAGGCACAUGGGGAAGCCCUGAGCACUUUGCAAGCAGGGCAGACCAUAUAUCUCACUUUGUACCCCCAUCAGAGCUGACAUUCCUUCCUCCUCUUCCUCAGAAAUCUGCUGCUAAAAUCCUUGCAGUCAUUGUUGAUGGAGAACUUGUGAACACAGGACCAGGCAGGGCUCCUGCUUUCACGGACCUCACAGACUCACGGAUGGCUCUCUUUUCACAAUAUUGAAUUCUAUUGUUUCUUUUAGGAUAUUCUUGGCCAACAUCUGUGGUUAAAUAUCUUGCAAUUAAGCAAGUACAUCUCUAAGUUUUUGUUUUCAUGGGUUUUCUGGAAUUUCGAUCUGGUGUGGUAGCUUGAAAGCUAGAAACCACAUGCACAUAUGUGUGUGUUUGUGCACGCACGUGUGCUGGGGGUAAGGAAACGUGCCUCGGUAAAUGGACGUGGGCAAAGGGCCAAACCCACAUCCUAUGAAUUCUGGGAAGGUUCCUGCCAUUAGAGGUUCCUUCACAACACAAUGAUUCCCAAAGGAUCCUACUGUCAUGGCUGGAAGGUCAGUGCUUCUUGUCCCAUUGUCAUCUUGGAGCUCCUCCUGAAGGCUCCGCUUUCUUUGGCCUAUCGUGUCAUGAUGGCCAGGCUCACACACUGUACUACAUAACCUUGCCUCCGUUAUCCUUGAGAUCACUCCAGGAACCAUAUUGGUCAAAGCCAUUCUCUCAAACCUCUAAUUCUCAUCCCAUUGAUCCUCCAACCUAGCCUCCGGCUCUGUCAGCUUGGUACUGAUUUCUGCCCCAAGCUGACCAUCCCUGGAGAAUUUUAUAGCUUCAUCAUUUCCUUUGUGACAAUUUCCAGGCAAACGUGGGAGUAGAUGUCUACAUCAUUGGUGAAUGUGUUGAAACGAGCAGCUCAUUUACUUGAAACACUAUUAAGACUUCUAUCUGCCCCACCUGCUUCUCUCCAUGAGGAAAAGAGAGGCAGAAGUAGAAUUUAAAAUAAGAAAUAAAAAGAAGAAAUGUUAAAGAAUUAAAAUGUUACAAGAAAACUCCUUCAAAACUCAAUGAAAAAAAGGUUGCUACAUCCCAGCCUCUUCUGUCCACCUUCCUGAUGGCUGGAUCCCUGCUGGUUCUCAGUCCUUACGAAGACCACACGGCCCACAUUCCCCGAGUAGCCCCAUAUUUUUAUUCCAUUUCACUGUGUCUCUAGGAUCAGACUUCAAUUUGGAAUGUAUGGUUGUGUGGCUACAGCACAUGCUUAACUUUAAUAUGGGUACAAUUUUAAUAAAUAUUUGUAUUUUUAUGAAAUGUACACACCACCAGCAACACACACACACUUGCACGUAAUUCACAGACAGCCAAAUCCUCAGGGAAAGCUCCACCAUCUACUCAUCAAGGUCAGUGUCAUUGGGAGCCUAGAGUAGCCAACUGUAACAUUUCAUUUCAGAGGAUUUCCAAGUGGUUGGAAUGAACACAAAUUAGACAAUACAAAACUCUUACCGUAUGUUGGUCUUGGAACUUAAGGACUGAAAGAGCUAAUACAUGGGGGGCUAGACCACACACCAAGGGUCUCUAAAUCCACAGUAGCAACAACAAUGAUAAACAAUGCCAUAAGAUUAUGAAAAUCUAUCCUAUGAUGCACAGAGAAGUACCUGGUUAAAGCUGUUAAAUGCAAUAUACAACAGUUGCGAUCUGUUUCCAGUGCAAUAUAUCACAUUUAGAUCACCAUAUGUCACAUUUGGCAAGUGAUGGAUAUAAAAAUAUAUGUAUUUUUUGCCUUUAGAAAAUGGAACAAACCAAAAGGUAAGGCUUUUCUGAUAAAUGGUAGAAAAUGUAACUAGCAGUUGGAUCUGCUUGGAUCUGGUGAAGCGUGGCUAUCCCAUUUCCUUUGCUUGCUCCCUGUCCUGAGCUCCAACCUUCACAUGCACCAGCAUAUGUCUGUGUGCGUUUAACAUCAGGAGAAUUACAUCUUCUUCCAUGCAUUUCUUGUCAAUAUUAUUAUCCACUUGCAAGCGUGCUGAUGUUACAAUUUCCUCCCAAUCUCUUCCCACUGCCUUUAAAAUUUUUUUUUCUCAUGUAGCUAAGAAAAUAUCAAGAAAAUACCAAACUUUCUCCAUGAUUUAUUUCAGUUUCUGUUUUUGAG